rnacentral:rRNA from 1 species
AACCUUUACACUGCACGACAGUGCGAUAGGGGGACUCCGAGUGCGAGGGCAUACAGUCCUCGCUUUUCUGUACCGUAGGGUGGUACAGGAACAAGUGCUGGGCAAGACCGGUGCCAGCCGCCGCGGUAAUACCGGCAGCACGAGUGAUGGCCGAUAUUAUUGGGCCUAAAGCGUCCGUAGCUGGCCGGCCAAGUCCGUUGGGAAAUCCACCCGCUUAACGGGUGGGCGUCCAGCGGAAACUGUCCGGCUUGGAGCCGGAGGACCUGAGGGGUACGUCCGGGGUAGGAGUGAAAUCCUGUAAUCCUGGACGGACCGCCGGUGGCGAAAGCGCCUCAGGAAGACGGACUCGACAGUGAGGGACGAAAGCUAGGGUCUCGAACCGGAUUAGAUACCCGGGUAGUCCUAGCUGUAAACAAUGUCCGCUAGGUGUGGCGCAGGCUACGAGCCUGCGCUGUGCCGUAGGGAAGCCGUGAAGCGGACCGCCUGGGAAGUACGUCUGCAAGGAUGAAACUUAA